GGGCCCGCACAAGCGGUGGAGCAUGUGGUUUAAUUCGAUGAUACGCGAGGAACCUUACCAGGGCUUAAAUGCAGUUCGACAGAUUUAGAAAUAAAUCCUUCUUCGGACGAAUUGCAAGGUGCUGCAUGGUUGUCGUCAGCUCGUGCCGUGAGGUGUCAGGUUAAGUCCUAUAACGAGCGCAACCCCUAUUCUUAGUUGCCAGCGGGUAAUGCCGGGAACUCUAAGGAAACUGCCAGCGCAAGCUGUGAGGAAGGUGGGGAUGACGUCAAAUCAUCACGGCCCUUACGUCCUGGGCUACACACGUGCUACAAUGGAUGGUACAGAGAGCAGCCACUUCGCAAGAAGGAGCGAA
rnacentral:rRNA from 1 species